AUGGCUUCCGCCACGUUCUUGAUCUUGGUCGCGGCGGCGAGCCUCCUGGCCAGCUUUGCGCAGGCCGAUUUGCAGUAUGGUUACUACAACACGACGUGCCCGGGCGUGGAGGAGCUCGUGCGCACCGAGCUUGAGGCCAUCUUCGCCGACGACUCCACCCUCCGCGCCGGCCUCCUCCGCCUCCACUUCCACGACUGCUUCGUCCGGGGCUGCGACGCUUCCCUCAUGCUCAACUCCCACAACGGCACCGCUGAGAAGCACGCCGACCCCAACCUCACCGUGCGCGGCUACGAGGCCAUCGAGGCUAUCAAGAAGGUGGUGGAGAAAGCAUGCCCCCUCGUCGUCUCCUGCGCCGACAUCAUGGCCAUGGCCGCGCGCGACGCCGUCAAUUUUAGCGCUGGGCCACACUACGAGGUGGAGACCGGGCGCCGCGACGGGAACGUCUCCAUGUUGGAGGAGGCCCUCACCAACCUGCCACCGGCCGAUGGCAACGUCACCGUGCUCACCCAGUACUUCGCCGUCAAGAACCUCACCAUGAAGGACAUGGUCGUCCUCUCCGCGGCGCACACGAUUGGAGUGACGCACUGCUCGUCCUUCUCCAAGCGGCUCUACAACUUCACUGGAGCCGGCGACCAGGACCCCUCGCUGGAGCCGGCGUACGGGAAGACGCUGACGACCAAGUGCCCAACGGAGAAGAUGGCGAGCGUGGUGCCCAUGGACGAUGUGACGGUGGACAAGUUCGACCUGGGAUACUACGAGUCCGUGUACAAUCACCGGGCGGUGCUGCGCUCCGAUGCCGCGCUGCUGGAGGACAGCCUCACCGGCGCCUACGUCGCGCUCAUGAACAACGCCUCCUCUCUCGACACCUUCUUCGCUGACUUUGCCGUCGCUAUGAUCAACAUGGGCAGGGCUGGCGUUCUCACUGGCACCCAAGGCGAGAUCAGAGAGACCUGCGGCGUCUACGUCGACUGA
rnacentral:rRNA from 1 species